GUGGACUGUGACAAGAACUACUGAACUAUAAUAACUUCAGGAGAAGAAAGACAGCAACUACUGUUCUACAUGUUCAAGUUGAAAGACAAUUCUGGUCAGAAGCUUGAAAUCACAGAUCCCAGCGUCACAAUGAGGGGAGAAGAGAGGCUCAGCCUGUCGACUGAUCCCAGAAGUCAGGAGGUCAUUGUGAUGAUGGUAUUUCCUCUGACGAUGGUCUUUUGCCAGAGUGUGAAGGUCAUCUCUUCUGUAAGAGACAUACUCUGAGCCUUGAAGGACAGAGCCCUAACAACAGGUUCCUUGACCAGCCUAUCCUAACUAGGAGGUAACAGGACCUCUACUACCUGCAGCUUUGAAUUUGUACGAGAGUUUCAGCCCAAGUUAAUCCAACUGUAGAUAAGAAUAUGUUCUAGUUAAAUAACUCAAAAAAAAUAAAAUGAAUUUGAU
rnacentral:lncRNA from 1 species